GCUUACGGCCAUACCACCCUGAGCAUGUCCGAUCUCGUCUGAUCUUGAAAGCUAAGCAAAAUCGGGCAUGGAUAGUACUUGGAUGGGAGAUCGCCUGGGAAUACCAGGUGCUGUAAGAU
ensembl:rRNA 5S_rRNA 5S ribosomal RNA